rnacentral:rRNA from 1 species
CCUACGGGAGGCAGCAGUGGGGGAUAUUGGACAAUGGGGGGAACCCUGAUCCAGCGACGCCGCGUGAGUGAAGAAGUAUUUCGGUAUGUAAAGCUCUGUCAGCAGGGAAGAAAGAAAUGACGGUACCUGACCAAGAAGCCCCGGCUAACUACGUGCCAGCAGCCGCGGUAAU